AAGCGGGCAGAUAUUUUUCCUGCCACCGAAUACAUUAGCAUGGGAUAAUGGAAUAGGACCCUGACCUCCUAUUUUCAGUUGGUUUUGUUUACAGCGAGGUUAUAUCAGGGUAAUGAUUAAUAGGGAUAGUUGGGGGCAUUAAUAUUUAAUUGUCAGAGGUGAAAUUCUUGGAUUUAUGAAAGAUUAACUUCUGCGAAAGCGUUUGCCAAGGAUGUUUUCAUUAAUCAAGAACGAAAGUUAGGGGAUCGAAGACGAUCAGAUACCGUCGUAGUCUUAACCAUAAACGAUGCCGACCAGCGAUUAGGAGACGUUGAAUACAAAACACCGCUGUUAAUCCUUUCGGGGGUUAAUAGUUGGUGAAUGACUCCCCUAACAGCUUGUGAGAAAAA
rnacentral:rRNA from 1 species